rnacentral:rRNA from 1 species
ACGCUCGACACCUACGAGAGGCAGCAGUGGGGAAUACUGCACAAUGGGGGAAACCCUGAUGCAGCAACGCCGCGUGAAGGAAGACGGUUUUCGGAUUGUAAACUUCUGUUCUUAGUGAAGAUAGUGACGGUAGCUAAGGAGCAAGCCACGGCUAACUACGUGCCAGCAGCCGCGGUAAUCUGAGCGGGCUGGCAAGGC